GACGAACGCUGGCGGCGUGCUUAACACAUGCAAGUCGAACGGUAAGGCCCUUCGGGGUACACGAGUGGCGAACGGGUGAGUAACACGUGGGUGAUCUGCCCUGCACUUCGGGAUAAGCCUGGGAAACUGGGUCUAAUACCGGAUAGGACUCCGGACUGCAUGGUCUGGGGUGGAAAGCUUUUGCGGUGUGGGAUGGGCCCGCGGCCUAUCAGCUUGUUGGUGGGGUGAUGGCCUACCAAGGCGACGACGGGUAGCCGGCCUGAGAGGGUGACCGGCCACACUGGGACUGGGAUACGGCCCAGACUCCUACGGGGGGCAGCAGGGGGGAAUAUUGCACAAUGGGCGCAAGCCUGAUGCAGCGACGCCGCGUGAGGGAUGACGGCCUUCGGGUUGUAAACCUCUUUCAGCAUCGACGAAGCGAAAGUGACGGUAGGUGCGGAAGAAGGACCGGCCAACUACGUGCCAGCCGCCGCCGUAA
rnacentral:rRNA from 1 species